rnacentral:pre_miRNA from 1 species
UCUUAUGGGUGAGCAGGGAAAGUGGUUUCCUGAGAUGGAAGCAACUCCUGGUGAAGAUGCUGUGAA